AGCGAGCCGUCAAAAAAUUGAGAAGCAGAAGAAGAAAAACUAGAAUAAGUAAAAGUUUGCAAGUGAAAAGACGCGAUUAAAAGCCGUCUAAAAUUUGUUAAAAUCUAUAUACAUAUAUUCCUAGAAAUUUGAAUUCAGUUAUCAGUUAUCUUAAAUUACGAAGAUCGCAGAUACAGAUUUCGUUGAUAAGACCCGUUCAUUAAUCCAAGCGGUUCACCAAAUAAUUCAACCUACAUAGAGCCCCCGUCUAAUAUCUAACACGACCCAAAGUUGCAUAAAUAAUGUUAUGCAUGUACGUUUAUAAACUGCGAGCAUGAGAGUAGCAAUCUACCAGAAGAGGAUACGACUGAUGAGCAGACCAUUCGCUCGGCCUUUCACGUAGCGACCGCCGAAGAGGUAAGUCAUGGUAAUCCAGUAUCGUGCUGAGUGAUUCUUCCUAGUGCAAUUCUAAAUUCCACAAUGGCGAUCCUGCCAGUAUUGUUGCAUUUCAACAGUAACAUAUUGAGGAUAAACCUGACAAAAUUAAAACGAGAAUCACUCAGCACGAUGAAUUAAUGACAAAGUGUUUCCGUAGUGUAACAAACGCGAAAAAUAUUUCAAAAUAAACGAUUCAGACCAAAAUGGCCCACAAGUUUAGCACAGAAUACGUUUUUCUGCACGAGUUAAUGUGGAUAUAUAUGUAAAAACACGUAAAAUAAAGGUACGUUCUUGAUAUCGUCUUCUGGGUUCUACCAUGAAAGCAGAUAUGGGCCACGGACAGCGUCCCACAUAGUGAAACGCCAUGAUCUUGCAUGAAAAUUAUGCUUAUGAGCCAUCUUUUUCGGCGGUGCGGGACCCCCGCUAUGUGAUUAAGAGAGUCACUAUGUCUGUGGUGCGGGACACCCACGCGAGAGAGGGUAAAAGGGAAUAUGGGAAAGCAUUGAUACGAAAUAAGACGUUCUCUAAAAAUUGCUCGCGGUGUGAGACGCCUGCUUACAAAGAAAGAGAGGAAUUAUAAAGAUAGUUUCCCGGCGGAGUGGGACUCCCGCUACGUGAGUAAGUUACUCUCUCUCUCUCUCUGUGGUGCGGGACACCCACGGGAAAAAAAAACAAAAAAAGAAUAUGGGAAAGCAUUGA